UACGUAGGUGGCAAGCGUUGUCCGGAAUUAUUGGGCGUAAAGCGCGCGCAGGCGGUCCUUUAAGUCUGAUGUGAAAUCCCACGGCUCAACCGUGGAAGGUCAUUGGAAACUGGGGGACUUGAGUACAGAAGAGGAAAGUGGAAUUCCAAGUGUAGCGGUGAAAUGCGUAGAGAUUUGGAGGAACACCAGUGGCGAAGGCGACUUUCUGGUCUGUAACUGACGCUGAGGCGCGAAAGCGUGGGGAGCAAACAGG
rnacentral:rRNA from 1 species